rnacentral:rRNA from 1 species
CCCUUAGAUGUUCUGGGCCGCACGCGCGCUACACUGAUACGUUCAACGAGUCCAAAACCUUGAUUGAUAGGUCUGGGUAAUCUUUUGAAGACGUAUCGUGCUAGGGAUAGAUUAUUGCAAUUAUUAAUCUUGAACGAGGAAUUCCUAGUAAACGCAAGUCAUCAGCUUGCAUUGAUUACGUCCCUGCCCUUUGUACACACCGCCCGUCGCACCUACCGAUUGAAUGGUCCGGUGAAAUCUUGGGAUUUUGUUUUGUUUGCAUUUAUUUGUAUCGAGACGAGAGAACUUGAGUAAACCUUACCAUUUAGAGGAAGGUGAAGUCGUAACA